GAUGAACGCUGGCGGCGUGCCUAAUACAUGCAAGUCGAGCGAACGGACGAGAAGCUUGCUUCUCUGAUGUUAGCGGCGGACGGGUGAGUAACACGUGGAUAACCUACCUAUAAGACUGGGAUAACUUCGGGAAACCGUAGCUAAUACCGGAUAAUAUUUUGAAACGCAUGGUUCAAAAGUGAAAGACGGUCUUGCUGUCACUUAUAGAUGGAUCCGCGCUGCAUUAGCUAGUUGGUACGGUAACGGCUUACCAAGGCAACGAUGCAUAGCCGACCUGAGAGGGUGAUCGGCCACACUGGAACUGAGACACGGUCCAGACUCCUACGGGAGGCAGCAGUAGGGAAUCUUCCGCAAUGGGCGAAAGCCUGACGGAGCAACGCCGCGUGAGUGAUGAAGGUCUUCGGAUCGUAAAACUCUGUUAUUAGGGAAGAACAUAUGUGUAAGUAACUGUGCCCAUCUUGACGGUACCUAAUCAGAAAGCCACGGCUAACUACGUG
rnacentral:rRNA from 1 species